rnacentral:snRNA from 1 species
GUGAAGGUGAUCUGGUUGUGACAUCUGUCACCGCAUUGAUUGCCAGGGAUGGUUUGGCUAAUCUGGUCAACUAGGUGGGUGCCCCAUUCUUCCCUCACCCUCCUGAAGCUGCAAACUCAGUGGAAGAAGACAACCAUCCCAGACAGAAGGAGUGCACCCUUUGGUCAAGGGUAUAUGAAUCACACACUGGUAACUUCCAGAUUACACUACUGUAGUGUGUUGUCCGUGGAGUUGCCUUUAAAAAUGAUCUGUAAAAUGCAGUUUAGAAAAAAAGGUCCUCAGUUACU